rnacentral:lncRNA from 1 species
GACAACUUCAUUCAUCAUCAGCAAAGGAUUACAAGAGAAAUGGUUCCAGCAAGUUGCUAGCUUCCAUUUGCCAGAACCUAUUUUACACCCAAACCAAAUCAAGAACAUUAUUAUAUAUAUCAAAUUACAUCGUAUGAUUGCGCUAGUGGUUUUUUAGGCUUACAAAUUUGGCCACCGUAGUUUGUCUUUUGAAAUUGUUGCACCAAUAAAGUAAGAGAGAGAUUGUUUCCUUCAAACCCUGUGCACACAACUACAUGCAACCCCUAUGCUCUCCUUCUUCUUCGAUUACACACCCACCCACCCCUGAUUCCCACCUCUUCACCAACGAUUAGCUAGUGCCGGCCGAAAUUCCCGCCACCGGCGCCCCCUCUCUCCGGCCGUCGCUCACCCACAAUCACAUGCAACUCCUCGAUCACCUGCAAACACCCCCCUUCAUCUUAUGUCUCCGGCACACAUACACCACACGCACACCCUGGUUUCUUCCGGCAACGAGACGAACAGAGAGAGAGAGAGAGAGAGAGAGAGAUCGGGGAUCGACACGGAAGACCAGAGUGUGAGAGAGAGAGGAGGAACACGCUGACGUCACUCCGGCGGCCGGAAACGGCGACGAGGCCGAUGACGCCACAUGGAGAUGAUUAUGAUGACGGUGCCGUUGAUGAUGACCUCAUUUCUCCGGUAAGAGCACCUGCGUUCCUUCGAUUUUUUUUGGGUAAAAAUUUCCACUUAAAAACAAAGCAGACCCAUUACCAUUUACAAUUUACACAUUCAGGUAUACACAUUCAGGUACGAUGCUAUGUUGAUAGUAAAAUUGUCAAUUUCUGCUUUAUGUGUUUUAAUAUGAUCUUGGUGCUACUUUCGAUCUACUUCAUAAACAUCAUAAUUUUCCAAAGACUAGAUCUGUAGAUACCUUAAUGAUUGCAAUAGCAGCCUGCUGGAGCACUUGAGAAGCUUUUCUUUCUUUCUUUAACUCAUUUAAUCAGCCUUUAGUAUAUGCUGGUAGGUUUUUGCCAUUUUGAUUAUGGUUUGUGUUUCAUUUUGGCAUUGACUAAAAUUGUUCAAUUUUUGUUUACCAUAACAUCCAUGUAUAAAUAUACUGAGAAAAAAACCUCAAUUUAAAUGGAUAAAUGCAUAAUUUCAUGUUUUUAAGUGUUUGCUUCCAACAAUGCAAAUCUACCCAUCUCAAAGAAAUCAUCUUAUUCAUGAACAACAAGGCAAUCGUGAUAUUUUGAAGGAUUCAAAAAAUUUAGCCAAGCAAAGAAUUAUUAAUUCUUAACAAAAAUAGGUCGAAGCAAUUCGCUGUCAUAAAAUCCCAAUGACCCGUUAUGUGCAACUCGUGGUAAAAGAACUGUUAUUCGUUUGUGGUACAUUGACCCGUCAUGUUAUAAAAACACUUCAAUUAGAAAUACUUCGGGUAACACAACACAUUAUGUUUUUUUAUUUAUAUCUACUUGGUUUAUGCCAUAAUGAUUUUUGCUGUGGUCGUAGGCUUAAGGGUUUUACACCCACUUCGUCAUUCGGUAUAAAUUCGAGUCUGUCAAUGUCUUUACGUCACAUAAUUCACUUGAUCUUUUUUCCGGUUUUGAUCAUUGUUGGGUUACUACUUAGCAUGUUUUUACGCCUCCAACCUCUAAUAGCGCUGCUUUACGCACCCCCCCCCCCCGCAACGCGGGGGGCUCAAUUCCAGUUACAUAUCAAACAAGAUUAAAUGUCACUAAACUCUCCCCGCACAUAUUGUUUGUCUUUUGCCCUGUGUUUAAACCAUAGGAAAGCUAGAGCCUACAAGUCGCCAAAUUUUUGUUUACUUCCACCCUUUUUCCAACGAAUAUACGGAAUGGUUUCAGUUAAUGCACUUUAUUUAAACAAUUAAUACCUAGAUAGUGGAGGAUUCAAAUGAGAAAAAUGUUUUGUAAGGAGAGAAAAUAAGAAGUUUCAACCAAUAAAAACACAUCAUUUUACUUCAUUUAAUAUUUGCAUUUAAUAUUAAUAUAAGGGUAUAUUGGUAAACUUACAUAAAUCAUUAAUUUGUAUUCUUCAUUUUUAAUAACUAACUAAAUAAAAUUUGUAACUCCUUUUUAAAAUAUAUACUUUUUCCAAAUUAAAAAAAACAACUUAAUUUAAAGUGUAUAAUAAAUGAAUAGUUGUGUAUGAUAAAUUACGAGUUGUGUAGAAUAUAUUUUAAGGUGUGUAGGAUAAAUUUUGGCUGUGUAGGAUAAAAUUCUAUAAUGUGUAUGGUAUAUGUAGGAAGAUUUUGAUAUCUAAUUAAUUAAAGAGAGAAAAAUUAAUGACAUAAGUUAUAAAUGAAAUAGUAUUUUACUAAUAUGUUUUUUUUUCUUCUCACAUUAAAUUUCUUCUCAAAUGAAUCUUCUUUAACAUUGAAAUAGCUUAUCAUAAACAUAAAAAUAAUUAAUGCAAAAUAAUUUAAAACAAUUUCUUGAAAAAGUCAAUAUCUAUACUAUAUUAUAAUACACGAAGGAAGGAUUCCCAAAAGUUAAGAACUUCUUCCCCCAUUAUUUAUAAAUAAACCCCUAGAAUGAGGGUAAAGUGGUCUUUUAAACCAUAAUUAUUUUUCAGUCCCUCAAUCUAUUACAUUUAAAUCCUUGACAUUUAACAUAAUUAUGGGUAAUUAGUUACACUCCCUCCCCCCUCUUUAAUUCUUUAAUGUAUUCCUGCGAUAUCUUACAACCCGUAAUGUUUUAAAAAAAUCCGAAGGUACCAUGACGAUCGGCCCAUUUUUUUAAACGUUUCAAUAGUUGUCUUUUUUAGUUUCGCCGUGCGUUCAUAAAGUACAAAUAGCCGAUGCGUAAAUGUACAAUUGAUUAAAGCCAACAUUUGUUUUUUUACCCAAUCCAGCUUUGACCAUUACCUAGCUACCGUACAUUAACAUUUUUUUUUACCCAAGUUUUUUAUUUUGAACGACAUUAAUAAACUAAAAUAUUCCCUAAUUUUACUUGUACAAAGUCAGUUUGUUGUGGUAUGUUUAAUAUAGUAAGUAUAGAUAAAACUCACAACAAACUUCCUAUUAAACACGCCACAACAAACUAAACAGGAUAUGUGCAUCUUAUUUUAAAAACUUAAAACUCACAACAAACUUCCUAAAUAAAUGGAUGACCAAUCUAAAACUAAACCCUAAUAGACUACUAUAAAUACAUAGCAAACACUCACAAUUCUACAUUUCUAUUGCUAAACAGAUUUAAAAUAUGGAGCCAGUUCUUAAUUCACUUGAUGCGAAAAAACAAGCAUGCGAUAUUAAAAAAUCUAAGAUUCAACACACCAAUUUAAACACCCCAGUUGUCGAACAAGCUUUUGUUAGUUUUUAAGUAAUAUUGUCGCUUAUAAUCUUUCAUAUUAAUAAGUUCGUUAUGUUAUUAUUUGGUGUUUUAUUGUAGGAUGAUGGUGAUAAUAGUGUUGAAAUUAUUUCUUAUGGUGCAAUGUUCAGUCCAUACAAGUCUAAGCUUCAACGUCAAUUUAAUGAAGAGAUUGGAAGUAUGAGAAUCAAAAGAAAAGAUCUAAGAGACUCUCUGAAUGGAAAUGGGUCGAGGUUAUAAAUUUAGAUGAUUCUCAGGACGAUGAGAAAGAAGAUGAAUUAGAUGAUACUGCUGAUUCGAGCACAAACAAGAAAAACGGAUCAAAAAAGUAGAGAUUUUAGAUGAAAUAUAUCAAGUGUUUUUAUGUUUUUUUCAUUUUCAGUUGUUUUUGUUUGAUAUAGACUAUCCCAUGAAUAAUAAAGUUUAUUUUAUAUUUGAAAUUUAUGUUUUGUGU